rnacentral:lncRNA from 1 species
CGGGACCAAAGGUUAAGAAUCUACAUACACAGUCAUGACAGUUAGAUUCGGCAUAUCAAAGAACCCCAAUUAUUCAAUUUUGAUGAAAUCAAACAAAGUUUAAUUUUGGACCCUUUGGGCCCUUAUUCUGUUGGGACCAAAACUCCCAAAAUCAAUACCAACCUUCCUUUUAUGGUCAUAAACCUUGUGUUUAAAUUUCAUAGAUUUCUAUUUACUUAUACUAACGUUAUGGUGCGAAAACCAAGAAAAAUACUUAUUUGGGUCCCUUUUUGGCCCCUAAUUCCUAAACUGUUGGGACCUAAACUCCCAAAAUCAAUACCAACCUUCCUUUUGUAGUCAUUAACAUUGUGUUUAAAUUUCAUUGAUUUCUAUUUACUUAAACUAAAGUUAUUGUGCGAAAACCAAGAAUAAUGCUUAUUUGGGCCCUUUUUUUGGCCCCUAAUUCCUAAACUGUUGAAACCAAAACUCCCAAAAUCAAUCCCAACCGUUCUUUUGUGGUCAUAAACCUUGUGUCAAAAUUUCAUAGAUUUCUAUUAACUUAAACUAAAGUUAUAGUGCGAAAACCAAGAAAAAAUGCUUAUUUGGGCCCUUUUUGGCCCCUAAUUCCUAAAAUGUUGGGACCAAAACUCCAAAAUCAAUACCAACCUUCCUUUUGUGGUCAUAAACCUUGUGUUAAAAUUUCAUAGAUUUCCAUUCACUUUUACUAAAGUUAG